UAGGGCAUGUUUAUUUCAUAGACUUGGAGUGGAAGUGGAUUUUGAGUUGAAGUGAAGUUUAGGUGAAAAUUAAUUCACUUCCGCUGUUUGUUUCUAAUUAUGGAAGUGCAGUUCUGUGAGUACUAUUUUUUGUUUGGUAGGAAGUAGAUGACGUAAAAGGUGUAGAUCUCCACCCCCGGUAUACUUACCUCCGAAAUGAUAUUAUUGUUUAUUUUGUAACUUAGUGAAUAAUAAAUUAUAAUAAAUAAAAAUUAAUAUAAUUAUAUAUGUAUAUA
rnacentral:lncRNA from 1 species